rnacentral:rRNA from 1 species
AACUCUUAGCGGUGGAUCACUCGGCUCGUGCGUCGAUGAAGAACGCAGCUAGACUGCGAGAACUAAUGUAGAAUUGCAGGACACAAUUUGAUCAUCGACUACUUCGAACGCACUUUGCGGCCCCGGGUUCCUCCCGGGGCCACGCCUGUCUGAGGGGUC